rnacentral:rRNA from 1 species
UACAGAGGUCUCAAGCGUUGUUCGGAUUCAUUGGGCGUAAAGGGUGCGUAGGUGGCGGGGUUAGUCAGGUGUGAAAUCUCGGGGCUCAACCCCGAAACUGCACUUGAUACUGCCUUGCUAGAGUACUGGAGAGGAGAUUGGAAUUUACGGUGUAGCAGUGAAAUGCGUAGAUAUCGUAAGGAAGACCAGUGGCGAAGGCGAAUCUCUGGACAGUUACUGACACUGAGGCACGAAGGCCAGGGGAGCAAGCGGG